rnacentral:rRNA from 1 species
UACGGAGGGAGCUAGCGUUGUUCGGAUAUACUGGGCGUAAAGCGCACGUAGGCGGCGCCGUAAGUCAGGGGUGAAAUCCCGGAGCUCAACUCCGGAACUGCCUUUGAAACUGCAGUGCUAGAAUCCUGGAGAGGCGAGUGGAAUUCCGAGUGCAGAGGUGAAAUUCGUAGAUAUUCGGAAGAACACCAGUGGCGAAGGCGACUCGCUGGACAGGUAUUGACGCUGAGGUGCGAAAGCGUGGGGAGCAAACAGG